UUGAAAAAUAAGAUCUUCCAACUAUUUGAAAGUUAUAGACAAUAAAAACAACAUACUCAAUGUAGUCCCACAAAAUGAUGUUUGCACUUUGUGGAGGGUAGAGUGUAUGCAAAACCUUAGCUAUGCUUUAGAGGUAGACAGAAUGUUGUAUUAUUGAUGACAAUUAAUGAUAUGAAAGUUGAUCUUGCUUUGUCAUACUUACAGGAAGGAGUAUUCAAUAGUAAAUAUACUUCCAUACUUUUUUUCAAACUGUUAACUUUAUAUGCUUCUCUGUUUUGA
rnacentral:misc_RNA from 1 species